GAUGAACGCUAGCGGGAGGCCUAACACAUGCAAGCCGAGCGGUAUUGUUUCUUCGGAAAUGAGAGAGCGGCGUACGGGUGCGUAACACGUGUGCAACCUGCCUUUAUCUGGGGGAUAGCCUUUCGAAAGGAAGAUUAAUACUCCAUAAUAUAUUGAACGGCAUCGUUUAAUAUUGAAAGCUCCGGCGGAUAGAGAUGGGCACGCGCAAGAUUAGUUAGUUGGUGAGGUAACGGCUCACCAAGGCGAUGAUCUUUAGGGGGCCUGAGAGGGUGAUCCCCCACACUGGUACUGAGACACGGACCAGACUCCUACGGGAGGCAGCAGUGAGGAAUAUUGGACAAUGGGUGCAAGCCUGAUCCAGCCAUCCCGCGUGAAGGACGACUGCCCUAUGGGUUGUAAACUUCUUUUGUAUAGGGAUAAACCUACCCUCGUGAGGGUAGCUGAAGGUACUAUACGAAUAAGCACCGGCUAACUCCGUGCCAGCCGCCGCCGUAACAC
rnacentral:rRNA from 1 species